rnacentral:rRNA from 1 species
GGGGGUAGAGAGAAGGGAGGAGGACAGGAGGCGUGCGGGAUCCCUGGCACCGCGGUCUAGCUCCCUCGGGCCGUUGCUUCCAGCGGCGGAGAGGCAGAAUUAGGCAGCCGACGAUCUAGGCUGACGCACCGGGCGACCACGGGAGGUCCCUGGGGGGGGGGGGCCGGCGGGGGGCGCAGCCACUCCUGUCGGUACCUACCCGGGGGACCUCGAGAAGACGGCAGCGGGCUAGACCGGCGGGCGGGUCAUCGGCCAGGCACGAGGCCUAGGCCGGUUGUCGGAGCGGAGGCUGAGCUAAGUCUGCGGGUGUCGGAAGGAGGCGGUGGACGCGGUACGUACUACGUACGGGGGUCCAGGCUGGCUAGGACGCGGCGAGUAGGAGUGACGAAAAGAAAACUCACUUGGAGUGAUGAAGAAAAACCGAGCGUCGAGCGUUCCUCCGGUCCGUGGAGCAGGUUGACUACGUGGCCGCCGCGCAUAGCCGCACCCCCACCCGGCCGCUGUGUGUUGCCG